ACGAACGCUGGCGGCGUGCUUAACCCCUGCAAGUCGAACGGAAAGGCCCUGCUUUUGUGGGGUGCUCGAGUGGCGAACGGGUGAGUAACACGUGAGUAACCUGCCCUUGACUUUGGGAUAACUUCAGGAAACUGGGGCUAAUACCGGAUAGGAGCUCCUGCUGCAUGGUGGGGGUUGGAAAGUUUCGGCGGUUGGGGAUGGACUCGCGGCUUAUCAGCUUGUUGGUGGGGUAGUGGCUUACCAAGGCUUUGACGGGUAGCCGGCCUGAGAGGGUGACCGGCCACAUUGGGGCUGAGAUACGGCCCAGACUCCUACGGGAGGCAGCAGUGGGGAAUAUUGCACAAUGGGCGGAAGCCUGAUGCAGCAACGCCGCGUGCGGGAUGACGGCCUUCGGGUUGUAAACCGCUUUCGCCUGUGACGAAGCGUGAGUGACGGUAAUGGGCAAAGAAGCACCGGCUAACUACGUG
rnacentral:rRNA from 1 species